UAAUCUUACAUCGGAAUGAAUUAAUAGGUGCCGCUAACAUUGUAAUUUAAUGGACACAGAUUAUUCCAAUUUGCGGUUGUCAGAAUUGUUUGAGUUCCAAAAGCCGUGUAAAAUAAUAGCAGCUCAUGCUGCUGUACUGUAAUUUCCAUUCUAAUGUAAUUUGAAACAGGUGUUUCGAAACAGCGUAAAUUGUUUGCCUUCAAAUUUUCAAAUUAUUCCGUAACAAUUUGCAAAAGAAGCUUCCUGUGAAGAUGGCGCUGCGAUAGCUACUCUCGUCCAGACGUCGCCUGACUAGAAGCACUAGUGUCGACACGUGCUUGCGGCAAAUGUCUUUAUUUCCCAUGAAACGUAUCGACACUACCACGUGUACAUCUACCUUGUCAAUUAUUACCUAAUACCUACCAGAUACGAUCUACAAAUAGAAGGAAAAACAGUUUCAAGUACACAUAACCUUUACGCGUGCAGUCGUACAGACGAACAAUCCCUGUCAACCUAACAAGAACGACACACGAAGAGACGCGUCUGGUAUCCUAUGCUAGAAGAGUCUAGUCAAGAGAGUGUUUAAAACAUUAUUUACUGAAAGGUUUCAAAGAACGCAACGAACUCGUGAAAAUUUUCAGGCUGUGGCGACCCUGAUGAGAUUCGUGAAAAUAUUUUAGAAUUUACUUCAACGAGUUUAUCUAUAUUUAAUUGACGUUAUCGUCUAAGGAUAAUCCUGGGAAGGCUUAUGUUACUACCAGAAGGGUUUUCGCGAAGACGAUUUUCCAAGUUAGAGGCAACCUGAAGCUAUGGAUCAUGGCAAUUAGCCACGUGGAAAAAA